UUCAAUAUAGGAGAAAAAUAGUAAUAAAGUACAUGUGUACGCCCUAAAUGCACCUUUUCGGAUUAUAUUUUUGGAAUACCCUCAAAAUCCCCCUGCUAACAUUUAAACCAAAAUUUAAACCUUCGGUUAUGGGGGGGGGGCUCAAGUCAAAGGUGACGCUCUCAAUUUAACCCCCCCCCCCCCCCACUUCCCUGCGCACAUUAUGCUGUUCGAGGUCACAAAAACAAACAAUUAUUUUUGUACUCCCUAUUCCACGAAUACGUUGCACACACCUAUUCCUUUGAGCGUCGAACGUAAUCGGAACACUCUCGGCUUAUCUUCCGAGUUUGUCGGAGAUAGCCGAGUACUGACGAUUGGGUUACUAACAGUUUGACCUUCGUUGACGGACUAGUCUCGUGGUCUAUUGGCGAACGGAAUGGAUGCUUACAAUUUAAUAACACUACAUGGAAAUUUAAUAAAACUAUUCAGUUGUUCUUACGAGCCGAUGGUAUUUGAUCCGGGAGGGGGUCAAGUAGAGCGUUUGAUCAGAAAUACCUUUGCACUAUUUCACAAAAAGAAGAUUUGAGCGAGAUAUCGCCCAACGAUGAAGAUUUUGAGAAAUACUAGCGCACCAGUCCACAAUGAAGACCAACCAUAGAUUUUUGGAAAUACUAGCGCACCACAAUGGAUUUUGGAAUAUACAAGCGCCCCACAAUGAAUUUUGGAAUAUAUUAGCGCGUCACAAUGAAUUUUGGAAUAUAUUAGCGCAUCACAAUGAAUUUUGGAAUAUACUAGCGCACCACAAUGAAUUUUGGAAUAUACUAGCGCACCACAAUGAAUACCAACCAUGCAUUUACUAUUGGAAUAUACCAGCCCACCACAAUAAAGACCAAUCAUUGACUUUUGGAAUAUACCAGCCCUCCACAAUAAAGACCAAGCAUUGACUUUUGGAAUAUACCAGCCCACCACAAUAAAGACCAAGCAUUGACUUUUGGAACAUACCAGCCCACCACAAUAAAGACCAAGCAUUGACUUUUGGAAUAUACCAGCCCACCACAAUAAAGAUCAACCUUUGACUUUUGGAAUACACCAGCCCACCACAAUAAAGACCAAGCAUUGCCUUUUGGAAUACACCAGCCCACCACAAUAAAAGCCAACCAUUGACUUUUGGAAUACACCAGCCCACCACAAUAAAAGCCAACCAUUGACUUUUGGAAUACACCAGCCUACCACAAUAAAGACCAACCAUUGUCUUUUGGAAUAUAUUUAGGCACCACAACGAAGGCCACCCAUUGACUUUUGGAAUAUACCAGCCAGUCAUAAUAAAGGCCAACCAUUGACUUUUGGAAAAUACUAAGGUACCUCAAUGAAGGCCAACCGUUGACUUUUGGAAUAUACUAAGGCACCACAAUGAAGGCCAACCAUUGACUUUUGGAAUAUACUUAGGCACCACAUUGCAUUUUUGAAUAUACUAGCGCACCACAUCAAAGACCAAACAUUGACUUUUGGAAUAUACUUAGGCACCACAAUGCAUUUUGGAAUAUACUAGCGCACAACAUCGAAUAUCAAACAUUGACUUUUGGAAUAUACUAAGGCACCACAAUGCAUUUUUGGAAUAUAUUAGCGCACCACAUUCAAAACCAAACAUCGAUUUUGGGAAUACAUUAAAAACAUUCAGUGUGUGGGAAUUCUAUUGCAGUUUUUGCAACAUUAGGACUAGGGCGGCUAAUAAAAUAACAAAGACUAAAUUCGUGUUAGCAUACUGUAUUUUUUAUAAGUGUCAUGUAUUGUUUGUAAAGAAAACAUGAUUGUUACUUUUAUGAUUGAGAUUCUAUUGUGGAUUUCAUGCUUUGAAAUACACAAUUCCAAUUUGAUUGAAGAAUAACAUAUUUAUUGUAACACCGUAAGUUAGAAAGCUUUAAUAUUCAUCAAAUUUAAAUAUUGUCAUGCAUUGUAUCUCUUUCUUAACAAAAUAAUAAAUGGUUAAUAUUCAA